rnacentral:rRNA from 1 species
UACAGAGGGGGCAAGCGUUGUUCGGAAUUACUGGGCGUAAAGGGCGCGUAGGCGGCCUGCUAAGUCGAACGUGAAAUCCCUGGGCUCAACCCAGGAACUGCGUCCGAUACUGGUUGGCUUGAAUCCGGGAGAGGGAUGUGGAAUUCCAGGUGUAGCGGUGAAAUUCGUAGAUAUUCGGAAGAACACCAGUGGCGAGGGCGACUCACUGGACACAUAUUGACGCUGAGGUGCGAAAGCGUGGGGAGCAAACAGG